CCUCUCCCGGGCCCUCCGAGGCGAGGCCCCGGCUCGGGCGCGCACGGUCCCUGGGGAGGGGAGGGCCUGGUCACAGCAUCAGAAUGAAUCUUGUGAAGCGAUUUCCUGCCGCUGAAUUAAAGUGUAACCAGUGCUCUAGCCCCGGCGAGGAAGGAAGUGAAAAGGCUGGGAAUGGGAUGACAUUUUUCCCCCUGGGGACGCGGACCCACUGCGGAGCUCUUCCACUGUGUUGUUUGUGUUCUCUGUCUUGCCUUUAAAAGACGAAAUUAUCUGGAUUCUGACAUCCCCGUUUCAGGCCUGCUGAGUCACGGAAUAUUCUCAGCGCCAGAAUGACUCAGUUCGCAGAACCUGAGCCAGAAGAUCAUGAGUUUCAGUCCGAGAUCAGAACCUGGCCGCGGACCCAGGGCAGACAGAGCGGGUGACGACCGGGCGGAGCGGGUGCUGUAAAAUGGACCGGCAGAGUGCAGCGGGCUUAGACCUUGGCGUGCUCGAGCCAAGUGGAUGCACGAAGCAAAUGCACGAGACCGACUUUUCACUUUUCAGAAAAGACUUCAUUAAUACUGACAAAUUAAAGGGUGAGUCCUAUUUGUCUUCUACCAGAAAGGUAAAGAGAUAAAGAAAUCUCAAAGGUUGCAAAA